AACGCACAUUGCGCCCCCUGGCAUUCCGGGGGGCAUGCCUGUCCGAGCGUCAUUUCUGCCCUCAAGCACGGCUUGUGUGUUGGGUGUGGCCCCCCUAUUCUUGGGGGGGCCUACCCGAAAGGCAGCGGCGACGUCGCGUCUGGUCCUCGAGCGUAUGGGGCUUUGUCACCUGCUCGGGAGGGACUGGCGGGCGUUGGUCACCUGUAUUCUUCCACGGUUGACCUCGGAUCAGGUAGGAGUUACCCGCUGAACUUAA
rnacentral:misc_RNA from 1 species